rnacentral:rRNA from 1 species
UACGAGGGGGCAAGCGUUGUUCGGAAUUAUUGGGCGUAAAGGGUGCGUAGGCGGUUGGUAAGUCUUAUGUGAAAUCUACAGGCUCAACUUGUAGUCUGCAUGAGAACUGCCGGGCUUGAGUAUGGGAGAGGUGAGUGGAAUUCCUGGUGUAGCGGUGAAAUGCGUAGAUAUCAGGAGGAACACCUGGUGGCGAAAGCGGCUCACUGGACCAUAACUGACGCUGGAUGCACGAAAGCUAGGGGAGCAAACAGG